AGAGAACUUAGCUUGUGCUCAAGGUUGGAAUGAGGAAAUAUAGGUCAGUGGGUGCUGGGCUCAGGGUCCACCUGGGUUCCUCUAUAGGUCUUCCUGGGUACCAGGUCAUCCCCUACUGUGGGACCCUGACAAAGUCACGUGACCCCAUGGGAAUGUCGGGUUCCCUCUGUUGUAGAGAUGGAACAUGUCUAAGCAGAAAGGGAAGGAUACCACAGAGAUGGAUGGCUCUAGAAGACCAAGGACAAGCAGAUGUCAGAGCCCAGUCCAGAAGUAGCAGGGAAAUGAGGCCUGGCCCUGAUGGCUGUGCCGAGAAGAUGCGUGGUAUGGCGCACAUCUGAGUCGUGGAUCUGAUGCUUGUCGGCCUGCUCAUCUAAGAAGUCAAACAUGUACUUGAUGGCCAGAGGUAGGGCUGAGCCACGGUGCGCCGUGCUGAAGAUGGUCUCGAACAGGUCAUCCACGAACUUUUGUAGUGUUCCCUGCAGGGUGAGUAGUGAGCUUCAGGGCGGCCCAGGGCACUACCCUCCUAGGACCUGGACAGGUCUGUAGGAGCUCUGGAUUUGGUCAUGUGUGCUGGGCAUCUUCCCAUACACCUACCUUGGUGGCCAGCAGCCUGGUUAGGUAGAUCUCAGAGACCAUCUUGCUGCCACGGUCGCCUUCACGUUGGUCCAGGUGGUCGUGGUUCUUCACCAGGUGCCACAGUUUUGUUCCACUUUCCAGGUCUGGCGUGAUCAUGGGUGUUCGUGAGCGUAGGCUGUCGGGGCUACUGGCUGUACGCAGCAUGCUCUCUGCAGGAAUAGCCUGUCAGCUGGCAGGGACGUGUCCCUCACCCAUGGCCAGACCCUGCCCUACCCCAGCCAGUUUUCCUUCAGAGGGCACCAAGGCUCCUGCUAGGUAUGUUGGGGAAUAGCCACUGUGGUCACCCGAGGUCCCUUGUUUAUAGGCUAUGGGGACAGGCAUUGUUUCAGAACUGACAGGAAGGCCACGAGCCACAUGUCCCCUUAGUCCUGGCAUCCAACACACUGGCAGAGCAGUAGGAAGGGCAUCCCAUCCAAGUCCACUGCCCACCCACUUCCUGCUUGCAACCCUGCCGGUCCCUCACCGUAUCUGCUGAGGGACUUAGUGAAGGUAGAGGAGUUGGAGAUGUUGUAGGCCGAUGUCUGCUUGGGUACUAGUGCCACCGAUGACCCAUCCGUCACCUGUGGGCAGACAUCAAGGAUACAAGUCCCAGGGUGCCACUAAGUGUCCAGCCCAACCUGGGAGGACCUAAAGACACCCGUGGUUCUGCCCCUCGAGAGAAGUCAUGCCACCACUCUGAAUCUCCACUGGGAUGGUUCCAGGGCAGAUAAUUACUUGGGCAUGGCACAGUCCACACCUGACUAGGCAUGUUCCAGUUUAAGGGAAAGAAAGCCCACAGUGGUCCCUGGAUGGUAGCGUUACCUGAUAGUGAGCUAGUGUGUUCAGCCUCUUCCAGUCAUUGUCAAUUUUAGUGGUGACGUCCUCGUCCUGAAGGAUGAUGCGUGCCAUGCGACCCUGGCGCCACUCUACAGGAAGUAGGGUAUUAGAGGUGGGACCCCCCCUUCCUUCUCUCCCUCCUUUUCUUCCUCUCUACCUUCUAUCCAGCUCCUCAUUCUACUGGCACAUAGAACAAGGGAGUGGGGGAAGAGAGGAAGACAGGGAGGGGCUUGCUCUGCACUUGAGGAAGAGCCUGGGAUAGAGCCAGAAGCCGAGGCUCCUCCACUGGAUAGCUACACUCACAGGCUCAGAGGUGGCAUAGUCUGCCCAUGGGGUUGGCCUUUCAUCUGGUGCUUGGUUGAGCCCAAGAGGUAGGCCCUGCUCUACCCAGGUUCCAGUUUCAACUAUUCCAGACAUAUCUCCUUAGGAUCCCAGAACUGUGUCCCACAUUUUUUUGACUUUUGACUUUCCCCAGUGCAAAGUUCUCUUCCUUCAGCUCAGACAGCCCUGGCUUCCCAGAGAAUAUCAAACUUACACCCAGCUUCUUCUCCACGGGUCUCCUCCAUCACUCUACUCUGGCCUGCAAACCCUAGCUUACCCUGUCACCUCCCUUGAAUGCCUUCCUACCAUAGGACAGCAUCAAGGGACACUUGCCCACCACUCACCCAGGUCCAUGUCCCCGGCCUUCGGCCGCUGUGAGUAAGGCACACCCUUGUACACAGCAUCCAGGAGCUUCUCCUUGACCUGGGUCACGGUGUCACAGUUCAGCCCCUUCACAGGAACCUCGGGCGCAUUCUCAUGUUCAGGGUUCACGCAGUUCAGGGUCUGUGUGUGAGGAGGGUGGUAUUGUAGCACCAGCCACACCCCUCACUUCUGCCAGUCCUGUCCACUCAGUUCAGUUCACUGGAAGGGGAGGACCCAGGACGGGGGCAGGGGAGUGGGUGGGCUCACCAGGGUCUUGUAGUCAAUCUGCUGCCGAAUGAGCUUGUCUUCGCUCAGAGAGUAGCGGGCCUCCCCUGUGAUGGCGUCAAUAGGGCCCUUCUCCAUCUGCUGCUUGAUGGCACAGUACAGCAUAAAGAGCGGCUCCCCAGCACACUCCUGUGUGGGGUGGUAGGGUAUGAGGCUGGGAUUGGACCUGUCAGCCCUUUAAGGGCUAUCUAGCUAUUUUCAGAAGCUCCAUCUCUUCUUGAAGGCAAGCCUGUCUCUGGAGCCAGCACCAGGCAAGGAUAUCUAAUGAGCGACACCCCCAGUGUCCUUAUGACUGUAGACACAGAAAUCCUUGAAAUACUACCCUCACUCACACCAAGUGCGAUCAUGAUCUGCUGGAUGAUCAGCCUAGAGGCCAGCCUAGCCAGAAGUCCAGCAUCACGAAGAGCAUGCUUUCACCACAAUCACCAGCCAAACACUGACUCCUGAUGUUCCUUAUCACCAAGGGACAGAGGAACCCACAGACUGGUGGCAAGGAGAAACAGGGACUGGCAGGGUAGCCUCUGCACACUUGGCAAGAGCCUGCAUUGUCCCUACCCUCAGCUGUCAUCUGGCUUUGUGCACUGCAGGUGUGGGGCCAGAAGUAGGGCCACAUUACUCAGCAAGGUGAGCGGGGCAAAUGCUGGCGCUCAGGCUGCUCCCAUGGCCCUGAAGGCCCACCCCUGACUGUAGCAGUCACUCCUCACAGAGGCUGCUGCUGGCUGAGAAUGCCUAGGCCAGAGGCUAGCCCAGGUGAGCCCUUGGCAAGCCCAUGGUGACUCUGUACCCAGAUGUCCUAGCCCCUUAUUAGCAUCUGAGGCAAUUAAAGAGACAGCUGCUAAGGAAGGAACAGCCAGGAGCAUCGAUCAUCCCUAGACCUUCAGACAACACUCCUGUCUUUGAAAUUAUGUUUCAUUUGCAAACUUGGCUUCAUUAAGUCAGCUAGGAAGUGGGAGGGAGGGGGAGCAGGUUGGGACUCAGAGCCAUCAAUAGCUGCCUCUUUUGGCAAACACUCCCUCAUAAGGUUUCCCCAGGUUAGAUUGCCUGCCCUUAGGUUCCUGAGCAGAGUAAAAGGAGCAGAGGCGGCAGGCCAGUGCCCAAAGCCUUGGAUGCAGACCCGUCCAACCCUAAUGCAUCUGCCCCAGCAAAGCCAGGGCUUCUAAGAGAAAGCUCAGACCCAGAAGGACCUGAAGGCCUGGACUAUCACUUUCACCAGUCUUUCCAAGACCGUGAAAGAGCAGUCAGAGAUCAGAGCCCAGGGAGGAGGCCGGCCCAGAACAAAGCAGACCUAAGCCUAAGGGCUUUCUCUCUCUGGGUCUCAUUUCCCUGUCCCAUUACAGGGGAAAGGUAGGGCCCCAGCUUCCUCUCAGCCCUGCCGAGAAGGUGCAGAGAAUAGUCCUUUCAUAGAGAGGCAACAGCGCAGGAGGAGCAUGGCAGUAAAUGAGGCACGGCACCAGCUUUCCAUCUUCAAGGAGAGCCAAGUUGACCCCUACCUCAUACCAUGCACUUGUAGCAUAAACGCUACAGAUGAUGGAAUGUUGUAUUUAAAAUACCACCCCCCCCCCUUACCAAAUUAAAAAAAAAAAACCCUAGAAAAUACACAAUUGUGGCUUCAAAGAUGAAGGUGGCUAGUCAAGCAAGUUGUUUAACUUGUAGAAUAAACGGCAGCCAAGAAAGCAUGCUGUCCGUACUCAUGCACAUCUCCAGGGAUGGUGUCACAGCACCCAGGCGGAAGGCUCUAAGUCAGCACAGCUUAUGCUGCAAAUGAGGAUGCAGCUGUGCUCAUUCUGGAAGCCCUCACAGCUCCAGCAGAAGGCUGCUGUGUUGGGGAGAAUUCACAUUCCCCUAACACCCUCUGCCAGUGUGACAGAGGACAGUGAAAAUGACAGUACCCUGUGCCACCUGAAGACAUGGGCCUAACCCUCCUGGGGUGGGGUAAAAGGAAGUGAGGAGCAGGGUGGGGUACCAGGACCCCUGUGAAAAGCACUGGGGGGUAGGCGUGGCAACCACAGCCUUGGAGGUAGGAGGGGUAGGGGGUGAACUUCGGACCAGCACGUCACUACAGCCAGACCUCAAGACAAAAAAUCUGAACAAAACCUGUUCCUCUACCUGUAGACAUUUGCUUCCAUUCAGUUCAGUGACCCACACUGAAUAUUGAUGGCUGUGACCACCAGAGCUGGGGCCCUGCCCCCUUACCUCACAUUGUUGACAGUGUAGUGACAGACAGGCAGAGCAACUACCUCCCUCAUACAUUCUAGUCCCAGGCAUCUGUGAGCAGGGGAUGGGCUCAGACCCUGCCCAAGUGCAGACUCAUGAGAACACCAUGCAUUCUGCUUUCUUUCCCUUCUGUUCUCCCCAGGCAAACUGAGCUGUGUGUGGGGGAUGGCUAUGCUGGCCAGGCAGGGUGAUUCUCAUUCUAGGAAGGGACCGCUCAUGCUUCUCAGAGAGUUCUCAUGGCUUAACACACCCGCAUCUCUAGUUGUCCAUUACAUACUGUGUGCUGUAGCUGACCACAGCAACUGACCCGAAGGAAAGCUCAGUAGCGGUGCAGGCCGCACAUGGCUGUCAGAAGACACAGCUCUGCAGCCACACACCUGGUCAAACCAGCCAGCAAUGCAAGGCCUUCAUGGAUAAUUCUGCUUAGAGGGCACCCCCACAUCAGUCAAAUUCAGAGGCAGAAAGGAGAAAGGUGGUACGGUGGAGGGAGAGGAGAGGGACAAGGAGUGUACCAUGAAGACAAGACCAAUGGUGCAGAAGAUGUUGACAAGGGCUGCACUUUACAGAUGUAUUGACUCUGGUGACCUGUACACUCCAGAGGCUGAAGCACGAAGGUCAUGAGCUCCAGGCCAGCCUGGGCUAUCUAGGGAGGCCUUGUCUCAAACAAUAAGAUAAGGGCUGGUGAGAUAACUCAGCAAGUAAAGAAGCCUGCUGCCAACCCUGCCAACUUGACUCCGAUCCCUGGGACCCACAUGGUGAAAGGAGAGAACCCACCCCUGCAAGUUGUCCUCCCACUUCUGCGUGUGCAUUGUGGCAUACACCCACAUAAUAAAGAAAAAAAUGUAAUUUC
ensembl:antisense Gm26811 predicted gene, 26811